CCUACGGGGGGCAGCAGUGGGGAAUAUUGCACAAUGGGGGAAACCCUGAUGCAGCGACGCCGCGUGGGCGACGAAGCGCUCCGGCGCGUAAAGCCCUGUCAGCAGGGAAGAAAAAAGACAGUACCUGACCAAGAAGCCCCGGCUAACUACGUGCCAGCAGCCGCGGUAAUACGUAGGGGGCAAGCGUUAUCCGGAAUUACUGGGUGUAAAGGGAGAGUAGGCGGCAAGGUAAGCGAUAUGUGAAAGCCUUAGGCUUAACCAAAGGAUUGCAUAACGAACUAUCUAGCUAGAGUACAGGAGAGGAA
rnacentral:rRNA from 1 species